rnacentral:rRNA from 1 species
UGUGGUGGCGGUGAGGGGCGCAGAGUCCAGGGGGAAACGACUGUUUACCAAAAACACAGGUCCGUGCGAAGUCGUAAGACGAUGUAUACGGACUGACUCCUGCCCGGUGCUGGAAGGUUAAGGGGAACUGUGAGUGUGAUGCGUAGCGGUGAACUUAAGCCCCAGUAAACGGCGGUGGUAACUAUAACCAUCCUAAGGUAGCGAAAUUCCUUGUCGGGUAAGUUCCG